CCAUUCCAUAAAAUCAUGGGUUUGCCAUCCACCCUCUGCUGCAACUGCCCAAAGCCAGGCAUGGAUUGACCCUACAUUGCUGCACCAUGCUGGAGAGGUGGUGUCUUCCCCUGUCUGAAGAUCUGACUCUUCCCUGAGAGGCUCAAGAUGUGUUAAAGGAGAGCAGGGAUGCUCCUGGGAUAGCUGAUCCUGUUUUCGGACUACUCAGAUGAAGGCAAGAACAAUGCCAGGCACGCAUCCUGUCCUUGUGAUGGUGGGCAGACCUCAGGGAGCUACAAGGAGCUGCUCCAGAGGAUGCCAACUUUCCAAGCCCCAGCUGGGGGUCAGUCCUUGCACCCAGCCUGCCAUCCACUCUGGAAUUCCCCAAGGGUUUACCCAGGAAUGUCAACUCACAGUGCGAUCUCUGAUGAAACCAGUUAACUUUGCAAGGAACUGGUUCCUCUGAGGGCAUUGAGUGCUUCCCUCCAACACUGGCUGCAUUUGUCAGACAAAAUCAGGUGACUAAGAGCUGGAUUAUCUCGAUUUCUAGAUCCUCUUUGUCUAUGGCAAACUGGAGUCCUCUUUCUUUAGGGAUACUUGUCCAUCACGAACAACGGAACAAUUAAGCCGUCCUCUGCUAUCCAGCCACAGGUACAAAAGCAGAUAAAAGACAGGCUAAUUCACUCUGAAAUAUCCUCCACUCUGAAAAUAAAAGCAAGGUCCAUGGA